rnacentral:rRNA from 1 species
GUGCACGCUGGCGGUAGGCCUAACACAUGCAAGUCGCACGGCAGCACAGUAAGAGCUUGCUCUUACGGGUGGCGAGUGGCGGACGGGUGAGGAAUACAUCGGAAUCUACUUUUUCGUGGGGGAUAACGUAGGGAAACUUACGCUAAUACCGCAUACGACCUACGGGUGAAAGCAGGGGAUCUUCGGACCUUGCGCGAUUGAAUGAGCCGACGUCGGAUUAGCUAGUUGGCGGGGUAAAGGCCCACCAAGGCGACGAUCCGUAGCUGGUCUGAGAGGAUGAUCAGCCACACUGGAACUGAGACACGGUCCAGACUCCUACGGGAGGCAGCAGUGGGGAAUAUUGGACAAUGGGCGCAAGCCUGAUCCAGCCAUACCGCGUGGGUGAAGAAGGCCUUCGGGUUGUAAAGCCCUUUUGUUGGGAAAGAAAAGCAGCAGGUUAAUACCCCGCUGUUCUGACGGUACCCAAAGAAUAAGCACCGGCUAACUUCGUG